rnacentral:rRNA from 2 species
UGCAAGUCGAGCGGUAGCACAGGGAGCUUGCUCCUGGGUGACGAGCGGCGGACGGGUGAGUAAUGUCUGGGAAACUGCCUGAUGGAGGGGGAUAACUACUGGAAACGGUAGCUAAUACCGCAUAAUGUCUACGGACCAAAGUGGGGGACCUUCGGGCCUCAUGCCAUCAGAUGUGCCCAGAUGGGAUUAGCUAGUAGGUGGGGUAAUGGCUCACCUAGGCGACAAUCCCUAGCUGGUCUGAGAGGAUGACCAGCCACACUGGAACUGAGACACGGUCCAGACUCCUACGGGAGGCAGCAGUGGGGAAUAUUGCACAAUGGGCGCAAGCCUGAUGCACCCAUGCCGCGUGUGUGAAGAAGGCCUUCGGGUUGUAAAGCACUUUCAGCGAGGAGGAAGGGUUCAGUGUUAAUAGCACUGUUCAUUGACGUUACUCGCACAAAAAACACCGGCUAACUCCGUGCCAGCAGCCGCGGUAAUACGGAGGGUGCAAGCGUUAAUCGGAAUUACUGGGCGUAAAGCGCACGCACGCGGUUUGUUAA